GACGAACGCUGGCGGCGUGCUUAACACAUGCAAGUCGAACGAGUGGCGAACAGGUGAGUACCACUUAGGUGAUCUUCCUUGCCCUUCGGGAUAAGCUUGGGAAACUGGUGCUAAUACCGGAUAGUGGAAGAUGAGCUCGCGGCCUAUCAGCUGGUUGGUGGGGUGAUGGCUACCAAGGCGUGACGGGUAGCCGGCCUGAGAGGGUGAUCGGCCACAUUGGGACUGAGACACGGCCCAGACUCCUACGGGAGGCAGCAGUGGGGAAUAUUGCGCAAUGGGCGAAAGCCUGAUGCAGCCAUGCCGCGUGUGUGAAGAAGGCCUUAGGGUUGUAAAGCUCUUUCAGUCGGGAGGCGUUAUCUACAGAAGAAGCACCGGCUAACUCCGUGCCAGCAGCCGCGGUAAUUC
rnacentral:rRNA from 1 species